UUUUAUUUUAUUUUCUUCUCCUCUUUUCUUCCUCCCGAUCCCUUUCCGCCGCCUCCUCUCUGCUCGAUUCCUUUUCUUCCCCGACGCCUAUGCCACAAGGGAAUUAAUCGCCGACGGCUGAGCAUCCCUUCUCCUCCACCGAUUGCCCGAGUUCGCCCAGCCACACUCGAUCUCCCCUCUCUUGGUCGUGGACACGCUGGCAGCGAGCUUUCUUCCAUGCCCUAGAUUGCUGGAUCGCCGAUCCACCAUCGGCUGAGCGAGCUUCUUCUUCUUUGAUCGCCACCAUCGUUCACACCUUUUCUUGUUGUUGUUCGGUUCCGAGAUGCAAUAGACACAAUCUUCGAGGGAGGAGACACCAUGGAUGAUUGGGAGAGCCAUGGAGCCCCUCCAUCGCCGCCCUCUUCCUUAAUCCCAACUGUUUUGUGCUCUUUCUACUUUUGAUUUCUAGCCGCUGAUGCCUCAAUUACCAACUAAAGCUGAUCCUUCCUCUCCUUCUCCGUUUACGUUCGAGCUGGUGCUCUAGUGUCGUAGCCACCUGGUCGGCCACAAGAAGAUUGGCACAUUCUAGGUUGUAGAUUUGUAGCUGUGGCGACCCCAUGUUGUGCUGGAUUCGUGCCACCAUCGUAGAUUGGUGAUCCUUGAGGUGCUGAGGACUACUGGACAGAUUCACCGUCGCUGAUAGAGCCGAGAGCUAUUGAUUUGGGACUUUGAUUCGAGACGAGUAUCUCGACGUGGAGAUAGUUCAGAACGAUCUACAUUUAAGGUUAUCACAUAGAUAUGUCAUGUAGAUUGGAGUAUCUUGUUUGCUGAUCCCACGUCACAUUAGAAGACGAUUUACCUCGCUCUUGAUUUUUUUUUUUUUAUAUAUUCCUUAUUUAUUUAGCUUUGUAUUGGUGUUUAGCCAUGUGACUUUUAUUGUUUGGGUGUUCUAUUUUUGUUUAAGCCGUGCCAACACGCAUUGUGUUGUUUUGGUUGUAUGGGCUUCUCGUUUGUUUUUCCGUUGUGUUUUUAGCGCAGCCGUGUGAGCUGUUUAAUAUAUAUAACUACGUGGUUGUGUUUUUAGUACAGCUG